UACGUAGGGACCGAGCGUUGUCCGGAAUCAUUGGGCGUAAAGAGCGUGUAGGCGGCCACUUAAGUCCUGCGUGAAAUCUUGCGGCUCAACCGCAAGCGGUCGUGGGAAACUGGUGGCUAGAGUGCGGGAGAGGAAAGUGGAAUUCCUGGUGUAGCGGUGGAAUGCGCAGAUAUCAGGAAGAACACCCGUGGCGAAGGCGGCUCUCUGGAACGCAACUGACGCUGAGACGCGAAAGCGUGGGAGCAAAGCAGG
rnacentral:rRNA from 1 species